GCUUUGCCACGUCAGACAAGAGGGAAUGAUUGUGGUGUUUUUGUACUCAUGUACACCCUCUCAAUGGUGUGUGGCAUUGGGUUUCAAUUCCAGGAGAUGGAUAUGCCUAUCAUCCGUCAGUGGUGGUGCCUUCUACUCAUGGAACGAUUUCAAAUUGAUGGGUAUGUCAGU